ensembl:lncRNA
GGAAUUUCACAGCACAAUAUUGGGGAAGGCCAAGAACAGAGCAGCAAAGCUGAGCUGGGUCAGAGAAUUGGAUCCUUUGAGGCAGCUCUGCCAAGAUCCAGAUGGAAUCGGGCCUUUGGAUGAGGGGAUGGGUUUGGAGAAGACUCAGGAAAGGGAGGAGUUGGCUGAAUUGAUACCAUUUUAGGACACAACCUAUUCUGCAUGGAGAUCGAGGAUGGAAGGGAAUUUUAACAACACGAGAUGAUGGAGGAGAAAGGAGCAGCAGGGCUUUUGCCAUGUGGUCCACAAAACAAAAUAAAGGAAUUACUGAGGAUCAGCAGAAUCAGAUCCCCUUUCCCUGGAGUUCCAGCACUUUGAAUGUGUCUCUCUAUUCUGCCUUUUCUGGUCAACUUCUCUGUAAAAAGCAAGGAUUUUCCACACUGAAAUCCAAGAACAGGUGGAAAGCAGGCUGGUGGAAAGCAGGCUGGUGGAAAGCAGGUUGGUGGGGAAGUGUUGCAACCUCUGGCUUUAAAAAAACCCCAAACUAAAGGAUUUUGAGAGAGCCCCAGAGAGGUUCAGCACCAUCAGAAGGGCCCCACUGAAGCCCUGGUGAUGAGUCUGCUGAGCCAGAGCCAGUGCUGGUUUGAAGGGGGGAUUUGGGAACUGUGAAAUUUUAUUAUCUUGGUUACAAUGAGGAGCUGUCCUAUGUCUUAAAUUACAGAGUAUUGGAGCAAUUCCAAAAGAUCUGUUGGAGGAAACAACACCUUUUUUUUUUUAUUAUUUUUUAAAAUUGAUUAAGGUAAUCAGCUGAAGCCUGGAACAACUUGAAAGGAACACUUGCCCUUUUAAUUAAACCUUUUUUUGACAAUGUAGGUUUUGAAAUCACUGCUAGAAAGUUUACUGUGUCCACCUGAUGCUGCUGUGGAGCAUACCUGCACUGACAGCUUCUUCACAGAAAUCAAGGCAAACUUAAGAUAUGGCACAUAAAGUUUUCAUAGCUGCAUUAAAAGACUUCCUGGCCCAGAUUCCUGUUCCAGUUCUGCUGCCAGGAGCUCCUGAUCCCAGUCCUGGUGACAGUUUCAAUCUGCUGCUACCUGGCUCACAGCUUGGACACAGCACCCAAAUGUGGGCUCAGAAAAAAGCAACAGUGAGAGAGAGAUGGAGCAUGAGAGAAACUUCUGUCAUGAAAAAAGGAAGAAGCAGUGGAGGAAAUCAUCCACAGGUUGAUGGGAAUGGUCCCCUGGAAUCAUUUCUGCAACGCAGGGAACAGAGCAAUCCAGGGAUCAGCACCAAUGUGCAGCAUCUGCUGAGCUGGCAGCUCCACCUACAGCAAAGGCUUCUCACGGCUCUUACACAAACACCUGGAGCAGACACCCAAAAUAUCAGAGCUGGCUGUGGCUGCUGGAGUUCAGAGGCAUUUCACUCUGUAAAGAGCUACAAACGAGCAGCAGAUUAA